rnacentral:rRNA from 1 species
UACGUAGGGAGCGAGCGUUGUCCGGAAUUACUGGGUGUAAAGGGAGCGUAGGCGGGGAUGCAAGUUGGGUGUCAAAACUACCGGCUCAACUGGUAGUCGCACUCAAAACUGCAGCUCUUGAGUGAAGUAGAGGCAGGCGGAAUUCCUAGUGUAGCGGUGAAGUGCGUAGAUAUUAGGAGGAACACCAGUGGCGAAGGCGGCCUGCUGGGCUUUUACUGACGCUGAGGCUCGAAAGUGUGGGGAGCAAACAGG